UACGUAGGGCGCGAGCGUUGUCCGGAAUUAUUGGGCGUAAAGAGCUCGUAGGCGGCCGGUUGCGUCUGCUGUGAAAUCCCGGGGCUUAACCCCGGGCGUGCAGUGGAUACGGGCCGGCUGGAGGCAGGCAGGGGAGAAUGGAAUUCCCGGUGUAGCGGUGAAAUGCGCAGAUAUCGGGAGGAACACCAAUAGCGAAGGCAGCUCGCUGGGACGUUACUGACACUGAGGCGCGAAAGCGUGGGGAGCGAACAGG
rnacentral:rRNA from 1 species